GGAAGGGUGCGAGAGUGGUUUAAUCGGACGGUCUUGAAAACCGUUGAGCCAGCGAUGGUUCCGUGAGUUCGAAUCUCACUCCUUCCGCCA
rnacentral:tRNA from 1 species